rnacentral:lncRNA from 1 species
AGUUAGAUUAAUUCUAAGAGCUAAUUCAUGGACAAGCUAAGUGAGACCAUCCUACUUCCUGAGUGUGUGAUAGGACACAGAGCACAAGGACACAUCAGGAUGGUUUCACACUCAUGAAGAAUCCAGAAAUGAUACUGAAGAUAGCCUCACUUUCCAGAAAGAACCUGAAGAUGCUGGUUACAUGGGCAAUUCUCAAAUAGAGAUAAAAGGUAGAGUCUAUUGCUUUGCCUUUAUAUGAUCUAAGGCAAUUAACUUUAUUUACAUCUUUAAUAACAAACAAAAUGAAAACACUGAGCUUAGGUAAAUGUCAGUUGGGGAAGUCUAUCCUGAAUAUCCUACAAGGGUUUUCAGGGCACAGUAUAAUUAUUUGCAUAACUAUAACUCUCUAAACAGUUAUUCACAUUCUGUUUAGAGAGAAUUUUGUCCCAGAUAGCUCUUAAGUAAAGGAAAGUCAAUAUAAAAAGAUUAUUUUAGUCAACAGACUGUUACAGUAAAUACUACGAGAGUGACUAUUCAAGCCUAUGAAUAAUCAAACCACGUGGCCUUUCUCCCGUGCCUCCAGGGGAGUAGGAGAGGCUGAAGUUCACCAAUAAAAGCGAAAGCUGAGCUUCCCAAAGCAUGGUGUCACCGCAGGAACAAAUCAUGCAUCUGAAAAACAAAUGUAGAAUGAUUUUUUAACAGAAUAUGUUUUUCAUAAUUGGUAAAUUGAGACAUUUUCUUCAUUUAUUAUUGAUGCUCUCAUUUAGAUUACUCAAAAAACUUUAAGAAUCAACUUCUUAACUAAAUUCUUCUAAAACAAAACCCAGUAAAAUAAAAAUGUCACAACAUGGCAAAUUCUAAUUAAUCAAUAUUAUCAAAGAAUUGCCUGAAUAUCCACAUAUAGAAUUUCUGAUGUUAUAUUCUCACAGAAGUCAAAGAUGUGGGGUAUUUUUAUUCAAUAUGCACAAAAUAAGUAUUUUGCAUCAUGAACCUAUUUAAAAUAAAGCAGGUUUUCACUGUAUGUGUAUUUCUGUAUCCCACAUUUGUUAUUUUGUAGCAAGCAAACAACAUUCCUGUCGAGGAAUAUUAUUUUCCAACAACAGUCCUGAGCAAACCUUUUCUCUGGUGGAAUGGUAACCACACAGUCUUAAAUCCCUGCAGAGACUGUAUUUUUCUACAAUACAAUGGGCACACUGAACCAUAAGAAAACAGCUCUCCUUAACAUGAGACACUUCAUGACAGCCAAUGUUUUGCAUAUGUAACUGAAGGCACUGUGGACUCUGUGUCAAACCAUUAAGUAUGUUAUAUACAAUCUGUAUAUAUACUAUAUAUAAUGGUAUAUAUCAUGUGGAGGGCACAGUAAGAUAAUAGUUCUGUGUACUGUUCUUGUAACAAUAGACCUUUUUAAUAAAUAAUUCUGUUUUUAUUGACUUC